UACGUAGGGUGCGAGCGUUAAUCGGAAUUACUGGGCGUAAAGCGUGCGCAGGCGGUUCGUUAUGUCCGAUGUGAAAGCCCCGAGCUCAACUUGGGAAUGGCAUUGGAAACUGGCGGGCUGGAGUGUGGCAGAGGGGGGUGGAAUUCCACGUGUAGCAGUGAAAUGCGUAGAGAUGUGGAGGAACACCGAUGGCGAAGGCAGCCCCCUGGGCCAACACUGACGCUCAGGCACGAAAGCGUGGGGGAGCAAACAGG
rnacentral:rRNA from 1 species